rnacentral:rRNA from 1 species
UACGAAGGGUGCAAGCGUUACUCGGAAUUACUGGGCGUAAAGCGUGCGUAGGUGGUGGUUUAAGUCCGUUGUGAAAGCCCUGGGCUCAACCUGGGAAUUGCAGUGGAUACUGGGUCACUAGAGUGUGGUAGAGGGUAGCGGAAUUCCCGGUGUAGCAGUGAAAUGCGUAGAGAUCGGGAGGAACAUCCGUGGCGAAGGCGGCUACCUGGGCCAACACUGACACUGAGGCACGAAAGCGUGGGGAGCAAAC